GUGCCAGCAGCCGCGGUAACACGUAGGGGGCAAGCGUUGUUCGGAAUUAUUGGGCGUAAAGGGCAUGUAGGCGGUUUUGUAAGCCUGGUGUGAAAUCCUACAGCUUAACUGUAGAAUUGCAUCGGGUACUGCAAGACUUGAAUCACAGAGGGGAAACUAGAAUUCCAGGUGUAGGGGUGGAAUCUGUAGAUAUCUGGAAGAAUACCGGUGGCGAAGGCGGGUUUCUAGCUGAUGAUUGACGCUGAGGUGCGAAAGUGCGGGGAGCAAACAGGAUUAGAUACCCUGGUAGUCCGCACAGUAAACGAUGUACACUAGGUGUCGGGGCAUGAGUCUCGGUGCCGAAGCUAACGUGAUAAGUGUACCGCCUGGGAAGUAUGCUCGCAAGGGUGAAACUCAAAUGAAUUGACGGG
rnacentral:rRNA from 1 species